UACGUAGGGUGCAAGCGUUGUCCGGAAUCAUUGGGCGUAAAGCGCGCGUAGGUGGCCUCAUAAGUCCGCUGUGAAAGUCAAAGGCUCAACCUUUGAAAGCCGGUGGAUACUGUGGGGCUAGAGUACGGAAGAGGCGAGUGGAAUUCCUGGUGUAGCGGUGGAAUGCGCAGAUAUCAGGAGGAACACCAAUAGCGAAGGCAGCUCGCUGGGACGUUACUGACACUGAGGCGCGAAAGCGUGGGGAGCGAACAGG
rnacentral:rRNA from 1 species